rnacentral:rRNA from 1 species
AUGGGAUUUGAUCUUGGCCGUAACAUGCUAACUGGUUCUAUCCCAAAUAGCAUAGGAAAUUUGACAAAACCCACAACCUUGUACCUUAGUAGCAACCAACUUUCUGGACACAUCUAUCGAGAACUAGGUCGCCUUGAGAACUUAGAGGACUUGAUGCUUUACAACAACACACUAAUAGGUUUCAUCCCAAGUAGCAUACGAAAUUUGACCAAACUCACAAGUUUGUACCUCGAUAAUAACCAACUUUCUGGGCACAUCCCUCGAGAACUAGGUUAUUUAGUCAAUUUAGACUACUUGUAUCUUAGCUACAACACACUGACAGGUUCCAUCCCAAAAGACCUAGGCAAUCUCACAGAACUCGUUGGCUUGUACCUUGAAAAUAACCAACUUUCUGGUCACAUUCCCCGGGAAUUAGGUUAUUUGGUCAACUUAGAGUCCUUGUCUCUUAAAAAUAAUUCACUAACUGGUCCCAUCCCAAAUAGCCUUGGCAAUCUGACAAAACUAUAUGAAUUGUACUUUGGCCAGAACCAACUUUCUGGGCAAAUUUCAUGA